GAAACCAUUUCAUCAUCAUAAGCAGGACCCUCAGAGAUCGUUUUCUCUUACAACACAUUCUCUGCAGAUGUUCACGCUCUUCAAAAUCAAUUACAUUUCCUUCCCUGUAUAACCUUUUGUUCAGGCUAUAUAUUGUUCCCACAGUAGAAGGAAAUGUGAUGCUUUGGGAUUCCUAUAUAACACGGUUGAAACUAAAUCGGCGCUGGUCAGUCUUUUUUUUUUUUUUUUUUCAUGCUAUGUUAAAACAGAUUUAGAUUUAAUUUAAAAUGCACAUGUAUGAGAAUUCAUCCAAACAGAAAUACACAAAAUGAAGUGCAAAUAGAUACAGUCUGUAAUGUAGGAGGUGAAUGAAAAGAGAGGUAUAAACGGGAGAAGAAUGUAUAGCUCUGUCUGUCCAUAUAAACAUGAUUACAUGUGUUACCUGUUUCUGAAGAUGGCUUCUCAAAGGAAAUAAUAGUCAACGGAUGAUGAUGUCCCUUUAGUCAUGAUACAGAGAUUGUUGUCAAGUUUUUAUGGGUAUAUUGAGGUUGAAAGUUGAUUUUAUUCUUUGGGUUUUGUUUGGGUAUUUUUGUGCAGUGUUUGUCUUUAUGUUUGACUGGUGUGUGUGGUAUGUUACUUUUAGUUUACUCUAAGCACAUUUUUUGAACUAUUGCAAGAAGGAAAAAAUGUCCUAUUCUGGAAUAUGUGGACGCUAGGGAGAAUUUGAAGAAAGUAGUAUAAAGUAGUUGUAACUCUUCAUUCUGGCUUUCAACGUUUCAGAAAGCCAGAUGAAAAUCAUAUAUUUACAAACAGUAAAUCAACACAGGUAUUUGUUACAGGAUAUAGUAGAGGGACUAUUAAUAUGCUUUAAAAACUUGGACUAAAUCAGUACUCUCUAUCUGACCUAAAGCUCACCUUUCCCAACUUUCCCCUCUUAUAGGAGAGGUGCAUAGAGAGCUCAGGAAGUCCCAAGACUCGUGGUAAGGAGGGCAGACAGACUGGGAAGGCCAUUACACCAAGUUGGGGGGGUUAGGGGUUACCGUAAGGGCCACCUCUCAGCCAUGGAAAUAAGCUUUAGAGUUCAGUGCAUGGCUAGUUGGGCUGGUUUCUCAGUCAUCACAUCCAUGGAUCCAACCCAGGCCCCCUGCACUGAAAGUGCAGAGCCUUAGCCACUGAAUCACCAGGGAAGUCCACUACAAAAGUAGUUUUAAUAAUCAUGUGCCCCUUUGUACAUUUUAAGUUUGAUAUCCACAAUUUUUCAUCAGUUGGACUAGUUAAAAAGAAUACAGUUUCUAGCAUGCUGUGAAUAUUAACUUUUAAAAUAAACCUGUUAUCUCAAUUUUUAUAAAUGUACCCAACAGAGUCUACGUACUAUUUUGGUACAUAUAUCUACCAUUUUUAAUUAUACAAACCAGCCUUUUAAUUUUUUUUUUGUUUUUGUUCUUUUGGCUGCGCCAUACAGCUUACAUGACCUUAGUUCCUUGACCAGAGAUUGAACUUGGACCACGGCAGUGAAAGCCCCGAGUCCUAACCACUGAACCUCCAGGGAAUUCCCAUAGCUAAUAUUAAUCAAGGGCUAACUUUAUCUAACGUUACAGUUUCUAAAUUUACUAAGGCGCUAUUACUCAUUAUCUUGUUUGAGCAGUGCUUUUAGACUGGGCCACAGUUUAUCAUGUAUCAGAAUCACCUGAAAAGCUUGUUAAAAUACAAAUUGCUGAGCCCCAUCCCUAAAAUUUCUUAUUCUGUCUGUCCAGAGUAUGAUCCAAAAAUGUGAAUUCUAAUUCUUAACAGGUUUCCAGGUGAUAACUGAUGCCUGUACUCCAGAGACCACACCGUGAGAACUUACAAUAUAGAACAAGGUUCUGUGUUGUUCAUUGAGUUUUUGUUUUUGUGUUCAUUGAGUUUUUGUGUUGUUCAUUGAGUUACAUGUGGUGGUAAAAAGGGGCUUCAGGAUAAAUUCAGUUUUUAUUUAUGAAGGUGUGC
ensembl:lncRNA